UAACUGUUCAAGUAUCUUCUUUUAUAAAUAGAUUUUGUCUGCCGGGCACGGUGGCUCAAGCCUGUAAUCCCAGCACUUUGGGAGGCCGAGGCGGGUGGAUCACAAG